rnacentral:rRNA from 1 species
UACGUAGGUGGCAAGCGAUACUCAGAAUCACUAGGCGUAAAGCGCAGGUAGGAGGUUUAGUAAGUCUGUUGUGAAAGCUCCCGGCUUAACUGGGAGAGGUCAACGGAAACUGCUAGGCUAGAGUGCGGUAGAGGUAGCUGGAAUUCCCGGUGUAGCGGUGAAAUGCGUAGAUAUCGGGAGGAAUACCUAUGGCGAAAGCAGGCUACUGGACCGUCACUGACUCUGAUCUGCGAAAGCUAGGGGAGCAAACAGG